ensembl:antisense 1700026D11Rik RIKEN cDNA 1700026D11 gene
AGAGCCCCAACCAGACUGUCUUGCGAAUCUGGACAAGAUGGCCCUUCUUGAGUCAGUCUGGACUCCAGACUGAGGUGCACUAAAGCCAAGAGAGAGCGGGCUCCGGCAUCUACCGUAUCUCUUCCUACACAGUGUAAGCAGAGAAUGCCAGUUGGAAUCCUUUUGUUUCUUCUUCUUGCCAACUUUCUUCCUAGAACGUCCAACUCACUGUUGAAUAGAAAUAUCUCUCGAAGGUGGUAUCCUCGUCUUCCUGUUCAUCUGUGGGCUUUCAUGGGUGUCCUCUAUCGGCAGGAGGGGUGUUCUCUUUUUGGUCCUCCCUCAACAACUGUUUUCCUUAUGAAGAGGCACUAGAUUUAUGUACCCCAUACUUUUUCUGUGUCUAUUGGGAUGGCCAUGUGUUUUUUAAACAUUUAUCUC